GCCCAGGCCGCCUGGCGCAACUUUAGAUGCCCAGCGUUGGCGUCCGGUGGCCGCCUGGGCGCUGGGCCGGUGCGGGGUCCCGGGUCCUGGCCGCGGCGGGAGGGGGCGCGCGCCGGGCGCCUCCUAGGCCCAAAGUUUAGACUUGGAGCAAACUUUUCCCCUUCCUUCUCCGCGGGUGUGUGCCCCCUUGGUGCCCUUGAGCUGCCCCGCGGGCCUCAGCAGACUGACUGUGGCGCCUGGCCCUGGGCCCCGCACUGGGGAACUUCCCCGCUGCCACGCGCGCGAUACCCCGAGAGUCAGCGGCGAGGAAGCUCUCCCGCCACCCCCUCGGAGCCCGGAAAAUUCAAACACGCACCUGCGCACCCCCAGCCAGACACGCACCCCUACGCGCGCUCGGUCCCCGCUUUCCCGAGAGGAGUCCGCAACAGCAGUGGCCAGAUCCACGGGCGGGUGCGGGAGCCGGAUGCGCUGCGGGGAGUCGCCGCGCCCGGAUCCCUCUCCCUCCAUCACACACAUUUUCUGAUUUUACCCCCCUCUGAAGCUUGGGGAACGGGGAGAUUUCCCAAGCUGCGAUUUGUCCUGCGACGCGCGCGUGUCGCCUCGUCCCUCCGGCCCUGUCCUGGCGGCCGAUGGCUCUCCGUCCCUGGCUUGCGCGCAGCCUUCCUCCCGAGCUCCCUGCGCUCUAUUCCUGUCCCGCCGAGACGACUCCCUGGAGCCAGCGAGCCGAGGCGGCGUGCGCUUCGAGUGGGGACCACGGCGGUGGCGGCGGCGCCGGGAGCCGAGGAGUUUGCCAGUUGCCGCGGGGUCGCGGUCAUUUGGUGCCUCCGCCUCCCCUCGCCCCCGCCUCCCGCCUCCCUCCUUUUCAGACAACGUCGCGCUGGGAAACUUAGAUUCCUUCUCCUUUUUGGCCCUCGACGAGCCCCCCUCCCCACCUGUUGUGAGCUCCGCCUUGGUCCCGGGAGACUGGCAGUGACACACACGGGCGCUGGGGAGCUCAGCGCCCAGAAACAAAGUCGCAUGGCCCCCUCCCAAGUGUUUGCUUCGAAAUCGCUGCCUGCAGCCCCCCCAUUCCCGCGCAGCUCCCGCCCCCUGUGA
rnacentral:lncRNA from 1 species